GAUGAACGCUGGCGGCGUGCCUAAUACAUGCAAGUCGAGCGAACAGACGAGGAGCUUGCUCCUCUGACGUUAGCGGCGGACGGGUGAGUAACACGUGGAUAACCUACCUAUAAGACUGGGAUAACUUCGGGAAACCGGAGCUAAUACCGGAUAAUAUAUUGAACCGCAUGGUUCAAUAGUGAAAGACGGUUUUGCUGUCACUUAUAGAUGGAUCCGCGCCGCAUUAGCUAGUUGGUAAGGUAACGGCUUACCAAGGCAACGAUGCGUAGCCGACCUGAGAGGGUGAUCGGCCACACGGGAACUGAGACACGGUCCAGACUCCUACGGGAGGCAGAGGUAGGGAAUCUGCCGCAAUGGGCGAAAGCCUGACGGGGCAACGCGGCGUGAGUGAUGAAGGUCUUCGGUUCGUAAAACUCUGUUAUUAGGGAAGAACAAAUGUGUAAGUAACUAUGCACGUCUGGACGGUACCUAAGCAGAAAGCCACGGCUAACUACGU
rnacentral:rRNA from 1 species